rnacentral:rRNA from 1 species
AGAGUUUGAUCCUGGCUCAGGAUGAACGCUAGCGGCAGGCCUAAUACAUGCAAGUCGAACGGUAAGGCCUCUUCGGAGAUACACGAGUGGCGGACGGGUGCGUAACGCGUAUGCAACCUACCUUUUAAUGGGGGAUAGCCUGGAGAAAUUCAGAUUAAUACCGCAUAAGACCACGGUACCGCAUGGUACAGUGAUCAAACCUUUAGGGUUAAAAGAUGGGCAUGCGUGACAUUAGUUAGAUGGCGGGGUAACGGCCCACCAUGACUACGAUGUCUAGCUGGUCUGAGAGGAUGAUCAGCCACACUGGCACUGAGACACGGGCCAGACUCCUACGGGAGGCAGCAGUAGGGAAUAUUGGACAAUGGGCGGAAGCCUGAUCCAGCCAUGCCGCGUGGGGGAAGACGGUCCUCUGGAUUGUAAACCCCUUUUCUGCAAGAAUAAAUGGGUAUUAUAGGUACCUUUGAAGGUAUUGCAGGAAUAAGCACCGGCUAACUCCGUGCCAGCAGCCGCGGUAAUACGGAGGGUGCAAGCGUUGUCCGGAUUUAUUGGGUUUAAAGGGUGCGUAGGCGGAUGUUUAAGUCAGUGGUGAAAUCUUACGGCUCAACCGUGAAAUUGCCAUUGAUACUGGAUAUCUUGAGUAUGUUUGAGGUGGUUGGAAUGCGUAGUGUAGCGGUGAAAUGCAUAGAUAUUACGCAGAACACCGAUUGCGAAGGCAGAUCACUAAGACAUAACUGACGCUGAUGCACGAAAGCGUGGGUAGCGAACAGGAUUAGAUACCCUGGUAGUCCACGCCGUAAACGAUGGAUACUAGAUGUUCGGGUUUCGGCCUGAGUGUCUAAGCGAAAGCGAUAAGUAUCCCACCUGGGGAGUACGUUCGCAGGGAUGAAACUCAAAGGAAUUGACGGGGGCCCGCACAAGCGGUGGAGCAUGUGGUUUAAUUCGAUUAUACGCGAGGAACCUUACCUGGGCUAUAAUGCCUCUGCACAUCCCUGAAAGGGGGUUUUUCUUCGGAACGGAGUGCAAGGUGCUGCAUGGUUGUCGUCAGCUCGUGCCGUGAGGUGUUGGGUUAAGUCCCGCAACGAGCGCAACCCCUAUUGUUAGUUGCCAGCAUGUAAUGGUGGGGACUCUAACGAGACUGCCUUCGCAAGGAGGAGGAAGGUGGGGAUGACGUCAAAUCAUCAUGGCCCUUACGCCCAGGGCUACACACUGCUACAAUGGACGGUACAGAGGGUAGCGACACUGCGAAGUGAAGCAAAUCUCAAAAAGCCGUUCUCAGUUCGGAUUGGAGUCUGCAACUCGACUCCAUGAAGCCGGAAUCGCUAGUAAUCGCGCAUCAGCUACGGCGCGGUGAAUACGUUCCCGGGCCUUGUACACACCGCCCGUCAAGCCAUGGGAGCCGGGGGUGCCUGACGUUGGUGACCUAACCGCAAGGGAGGAGCCACCUAGGGUAAAACUGGUGACUGGGGCUAAGUCGGAACAAGGUA